UGACGACGGAGACGCGACACCUCCGGCCCUGGUCGUCCUCCCGGUCGCCCCAGGGGGCUCGCCACAGCUCCCCACGCCGCUCCUCCUCUCUCUCCCCCGGGUAGGAGCUACCGCUCUGGGACACAACGGAGGACAGCUCCGCGAUGCGCAGGCUGAGGUCCUCCCAGUGCAUGAUGGGAAGGUGCUGUUCGCCCAGGGAAGUCAGAUAAAGAUCUCCCGAUCCCUCUUCCUGGUCUUCUUUGGGGAGAUGUCGCCCGUCGCCGUCCUUCUCCUCCGUUGUCUCUUCCUCUUCUCUGCGUAUUUUAUUAUCACGCCGUGGGUUCUCUCGUCGUCUCCUAGUGAACAGCGUUAAGUAGCCUUCUCCCUUGAACUUUCCCUAAACAAGUAUGGGAAACACCCUCUAGAAGGCAGGCCAUUCUCUUUCCU
ensembl:lncRNA